rnacentral:rRNA from 1 species
GAGUUUGAUCUUGGCUCAGAUUGAACGCUGGCGGCAUGCCUUACACAUGCAAGUCGAACGCGAAAGCGGGGCAACCCGCAAGUAGAGUGGCGAACGGGUGAGUAAUACAUCGGAACAUUUCCAGUAGCGGGGGAUAACCUGUCGAAAGAUAGGCUAAUACCGCAUACGACCUACGGGUGAAAGCGGAGGACCGCAAGGCUUCGCACUAUUGGAGUGGCCGAUGUCGGAUUAGCUAGUUGGCGGGGUAAAAAGCCCACCAAGGCGACGAUCCGUAGCUGGUCUGAGAGGACGAUCAGCCACACUGGAACUGAGACACGGUCCAGACUCCUACGGGAGGCAGCAGUGGGGAAUAUUGGACAAUGGGGGAAACCCUGAUCCAGCCAUGCCGCGUGAGUGAAGAAGGCC